GGUCUGAAUAAUCCAUAAUCCUAGCAAAAAUUGAAAAAUAAUCCGUAUCCCAUUUCUAUAAACAAAAAUAUCCCUUUAAUAAUUUAAAGAAAUGUGAACAGUCAAAUUAUUCCACGCGAAAUCAAGUGACACUCGAGUUCAUGCGUGUGAUUCAUGCAUGUCACAUACACACGUAAAAACGCAAACGCACAAGUUGUAACAAACCUGCAGCAGACUUGUAGCAAUGCUGUUCCAACAACUUGUCAACAGAAUGUGUUCGCACUGCUUGUUCCCAGCUUGUUGACAAGUUGUCAACGACUUGUGACAACUUGCUACAAGGUUGUUGAGCUCAACAGACUGGGAGCAUGUAAUCAUGAAAUGAGACCGACCCACCACUGAAAUGUGAAUCCAGACCUCUCUUGGUGAGUUGGUGUGUUGCAAUAAAAUUGAGUAAAAAGCAUGGAAAUUGAUGGCAUUUAUUAGGAAUUGUGCAAGAACACGUACAGUUUGCUGUGAAACGUUAUAUUUUUAUUAAGUGUCCGGGCUUAGUCAGGUUUGACCACAGAUUAGCGAUUUCGUCAAGAUCGAUCGUGUCUGUUAGAUCGCGCUCACAUGCAAAGAGUCAAGAGUUCACCAAGGCGUUCCUGGUUCAUUACUGAAUGCAUAACAGUUUCCAAUGAUUUCAGCUUUGAAAAGCUGCGCUCGGCUGAUGCGGAUGUUACAGGAACUGUCAGGCACGUAACUAUAGGAUUUUUGAUUGACCGAGACACUUCAAGAUUUUUGAUUGGCCAAGACACUUUUGAUUUUCUAAGGCUUAGAAACGCUAUUUCCUGCAUUCUGGGAGCUGUUCAAACAAAAUAUUAAUUUCAUAAACAGUGACACAAUGACUAUAAUUUUAUACUGUAGUUUGCCCCCAGUCCUGAGGCUAAGAUCGAACAUCAUUGAUCAGGUGCAUAGUAAAAAAGUGUUUGUGCUCAAUUGUUUUAAUAUUUGGGCGCUUGCCCGUACUUUUGUUAUUGGGGUACUUGUGUACCCACACAGCCUCCCAUUUCUUACGUCACUGUAGGGCAAGAAUAAUGCUUCUUAACAUAGAGAGAACUACAGUCUGUCAUUGAACUUGAACUCGAUUGACUCAUUUACCUAGUUAUGGACCUGACUGUAAGCAACAAUUGGAAACAUCACCUAGUCAGUGGAAACAAUGUUUCGCUCCGGGAUUCCAGAUAAACCAGUGCGUCGUUCACUGAUCGAAUUUCUUGAUUGCAGUAGGCACAUAAAACUCUUUGGUAACAAAAUGCAUAUCGUGUUACAUGUGAACAUACUUCCUAAUAUAACUCGGCUAGAAAUUCGUUUUUUCUUGUGAGAUUUUUACGUGUGUACAUGUUUGCGCGAAGAUCGCGUGUGUUCCAUCUCAAAUGUGCGAAAUGGUCAAUAAUUAAAAAUUUUCAGCACCUUUUAAUGGUGUCUCUAGUAUAAUGAAGGUAUUGAUAUUGAUUGGCAUCUUAUAUGACCUCUUACAAACUGCAAAUUGUACCUCUUAUUUUUAUUUUCAAUAGCAAAAAUAGAUGAUCUUUGCAUAUCAAUAAUCCUAAAAUCCUAUCCAAAUAAUCCAUAAUCUUUUUUUUCAACCAGCAAUAAUCCGUAAUCCUACCCAAAAAUCCCAAAUAAUCCGUAAUCCUAAAACCCUAACAGGGCCUCU
rnacentral:lncRNA from 1 species